rnacentral:rRNA from 1 species
UGGGGAAUUUUGCACAAUGGGGGGAACCUUGAUGCAGCGACGCCGCGUGAGGGAUGGAGGCCUUCGGGUUGUGAACCUCUUUCGCUCGUGUGCAAGCCGCUAUUUGGGUAGUGGUGAGUGUAGCGGGUAAAGAAGCGCCGGCUAACUACGUGCCAGCAGCCGCGGUAAUACGUAGGGCGCGAGCGUUGUCCGGAUUUAUUGGGCGUAAAGGGCUUGUAGGCGGUUUGUCGCGCCUGGCGUGUAAUCCUCUGGCUUACCUGGGGGUGGGCUGUGGGUACGGGCAGGCUUGAGUGCGGUAGGGGAGAUUGAAAUUCCUGGUGUAGCGGUGGAAUGCGCAGAUAUCAGGAGGAACACCGGUGGCGAAGGCGGGUCUCUGGGCCGUUACUGACGCUGAGGAGCGAAAGCGUGGGGAGCGAACAGG